rnacentral:Y_RNA from 1 species
AACGAGUUACGGUAGUGGGUUAUCAGAACUUAUUAACAUUAGUGUCACUGAAGUUGGUUUGCAACCCCCCACUGCUAAAUUUGACUGGCUUAAA